CAAAAUGUAGCUUAGCCAAAGCACCUCGCUUACACCGAGGAGACAUCUGUGAAACCCGGACCAUUUUGA
rnacentral:tRNA from 1 species